rnacentral:rRNA from 1 species
UACGGGGGGGGCAAGCGUUGUUCGGAAUUACUGGGCGUAAAGGGCUCGUAGGUGGCCAACUAAGUCAGACGUGAAAUCCCCAGGCUUAACCUGGGAACUGCGUCUGAUACUGGAUGGCUUGAAUUCGGGAGAGGGAUGCAGAAUUCCAGGUGUAGCGGUGAAAUGCGUAGAUAUCUGGAGGAACACCGGUGGCGAAGGCGGCAUCCUGGACCAAUUCUGACGCUGAGUGAGCGAAAGCCAGGGGAGCAAACGGG